rnacentral:rRNA from 1 species
AGAGUUUGAUCCUGGCUCAGGAUGAACGCUAGCGGCAGGCUUAACACAUGCAAGUCGAGGGGUAACAGGUCUAGCAAUAGAUGCUGACGACCGGCGCACGGGUGAGUAUCGCGUUUGCAAUCUACCUCUAACUGGAGGAUAGCCCGGAGAAAUUCGGAUUAAUACUUCAUAAUAUCAUAAGAAGGCAUCUUUUUAUGAUUAAAGCUCAGGCGGUUAGAGAUGAGCAUGCGUACCAUUAGCUAGUUGGUGAGGUAACGGCUCACCAAGGCUACGAUGGUUAGGGGGUCUGAGAGGAUGAUCCCCCACACUGGUACUGAGACACGGACCAGACUCCUACGGGAGGCAGCAGUGAGGAAUAUUGGGCAAUGGGCGCAAGCCUGACCCAGCCAUGCCGCGUGCAGGAUGACGGCGCUAUGCGUUGUAAACUGCUUUUGUUUAGGAAGAAAUCCAUCUACGUGUAGGUGGUUGACGGUACUAAAUGAAUAAGCAUCGGCUAACUCCGCGCCAGCAGCCGCGGUAAUACGGAGGAUGCAAGCGUUAUCCGGAUUCAUUGGGUUUAAAGGGUGCGUAGGCGGAGUACUAAGUCAGCGAUGAAAUCCUGCAGCUUAACUGUAGAACUGUCAUUGCUACUGGUAUUCUUGAAUGCAGUUGAGGUAGGCGGAAUGUGUAAUGUAGCGGUGAAAUGCUUAGAUAUUACACAGAACACCGAUUGCGAAGGCAGCUUACUAAACUGUGAUUGACGCUGAGGCACGAAAGCGUGGGGGAGCAAACAGGAUUAGAUACCCUGGUAGUCCACGCCG